AACCUUUAAAUAAAAGAAUUUCUAAUUCUUAUAGAAUUUAAUCUAAAGGUUA
rnacentral:tRNA from 1 species